UACGAAGGGGGCUAGCGUUGCUCGGAAUCACUGGGCGUAAAAGGUGCGUAGGCGGGUCUUUAAGUCAGGGGUGAAAUCCUGGAGCUCAACUCCAGAACUGCCUUUGAUACUGAAGAUCUUGAGUUCGGGAGAGGUGAGUGGAACUGCGAGUGUAGAGGUGAAAUUCGUAGAUAUUCGCAAGAACACCAGUGGCGAAGGCGGCUCACUGGCCCGAUACUGACGCUGAGGCGCGAAAGCGUGGGGAGCAAACAGG
rnacentral:rRNA from 1 species